rnacentral:rRNA from 1 species
CUUAGUGGCGGACGGGUGAGUAACGCGUGGGGAACCUGCCCUGUACAGGGGGAUAACACUUAGAAAUAGGUGCUAAUACCGCAUAAGCGCACAGUAUCGCAUGAUACAGUGUGAAAAACUCCGGUGGUACAGGAUGGACCCGCGUCUGAUUAGCUGGUUGGCGGGGUAACGGCCCACCAAGGCAACGAUCAGUAGCCGGCCUGAGAGGGUGAACGGCCACAUUGGGACUGAGACACGGCCCAAACUCCUACGGAAGGCAGCAG